UACCCUGAAUUUUAAAUACGUUUUAGUUGACAUAUCAUGUUCUGAAGUUUAAUUUUGCAUGUUUUUAAUAAUCUUUGCUUUAGUACUUACUGUAACUAUACUUGCUGAUUUUAACCACAGAAAAUCUUUAGUCCAUUCAGGAUAUCCAUCUGUCCAAGCCUUUAUCCGACUCCUUUUUUCUAGAUGAGGGUCAUGGUGAACUGGUGUAUAUCCCAGCAACACUGGAUUUAAGAUAAGAUCUGGUUAUACAGGAAAUGAAGUCUAAUGAAACAGCACAGCAUCAGAGGACAGGUCAAGGAACAAAGGAAAUCGUUUCCCCUGCCUAUUAUGUGUUCAAGGAACCUUCAUUUUUUAACAACUCUCCAAUGACCACUUGCUCUUCAAAAAAAAAAAAAA